GGUUUGUCGGGGGCUCUCAGGCCUUUGGCCACAGACUGAAGGCUGAACUGUUGGCUUCCCUACUUUUGAGGUUUUGGGACUCAGGCUGAUCCACCACUGGCUUCCUUGCUCCUCAACUUGCGGCCGGCCUAUCAUGGGACUUGACCUUGUGAACGUGAUUGGAAUGAGAAAACUUAUGUAAAACACAGCUCCCACGUACUGAACAUCUACCGGAUAUAUGCCAGACACUAUGCAA
rnacentral:lncRNA from 10 species